AUUGAACGCUGGCGGCAGGCCUAACACAUGCAAGUCGAGCGGGGUUUUCGGACCUAGCGGCGGACGGGUGAGUAAUGCGUAGGAAGCUACCCGAUAGAGGGGGAUACCAGUUGGAAACGACUGUUAAUACCGCAUAAUGUCUACGGACCAAAGUGUGGGACCUUCGGGCCACAUGCUAUCGGAUGCGCCUACGUGGGAUUAGCUAGUUGGUGAGGUCAUGGCUCACCAAGGCGACGAUCCCUAGCGGGUUUGAGAGGAUGGUAAGCCACACUGGAACGGAGACACGGGCCAGAGUGCUACGGGGGGCAGCAGUGGGGAAUAUUGGAAAAUGGGCGCAAGCCUGAUCCAGCAAUGCCGCGUGUGUGAAGAAGGCCUUCGGGUUGUAAAGCACUUUCAGUAGGGAGGAAGCGUUGUGUGUUAAUAGUACACAGCGUUGACGUUACCUACAGAAGAAGCACCGGCUAACUCUGUGCCAGCCGCCGCGGUAAGAC
rnacentral:rRNA from 1 species